AUUGAACGCUGGCGGCAUGCUUUACACAUGCAAGUCGGACGGCAGCAUAAAAGAGCUUGCUCUUUUGAUGGCGAGUGGCGAACGGGUGAGUAAUGCAUCGGAACGUACCGAGUAGUGGGGGAUAACUGUCCGAAAGGAUGGCUAAUACCGCAUAUUCUCUGAGGAGGAAAGCAGGGGACCUUAGGGCCUUGCGCUAUUUGAGCGGCCGAUGUCUGAUUAGCUAGUUGGUGGGGUAAGAGUCCACCAAGGCGACGAUCAGUAGCGGGUCUGAGGGGAUGAUCCGCCACACUGGGACUGGGACACGGCCCAGACUCCUACGGGAGGCAGCAGUGGGGAAUUUUGGACAAUGGGCGCAAGCCUGAUCCAGCCAUGCCGCGUGUAUGAAGAAGGCCUUCGGGUUGUAAAGUACUUUUGUCAGGGAAGAAAAGCCUGAGGAUAACACCCUCAGGUCAUGACGGUACCUGAAGAAUAAGCACCGGCUAACUACGUGCCAGCCGCCGCGGUAAGAC
rnacentral:rRNA from 1 species